rnacentral:lncRNA from 1 species
UGGGGUUUGAGCUGCUUCUCAAAGAGACACUGGAGUGGUUGGCCAUUUCCUUCUCCAGCUUAUUUUGCAGAUGAGGAAACUGACACAAACAGGGUAAAGUGACUUGCCCAGGAUCAUUCAACUAGGAUCCUUGGAUAUCUUCUAUUUAAUUAAAUGACAGUAUUUACCCAUGAAAGAAGAUAGCCAGUUUUAAUAGAAAUGAUGCCAGUCAAAUCCUGCUGGCUUGUACCAGUCAAGAGGCUCCUUCCUCCAGCAUGACUGCAGGACCUGGAAGCUCUCGG